CUCCCGUUGCUGUCCCCGUUCCUGUCCCAGACACUCCCGCAAGCGGUGGGAGCGGUUCGUGCACAGCGAGAACCAGCACCUGGUGAGCUCCGAGGCUCUGGAUUUCCUGGACAAACUGCUGCGCUACGACCACCAGAGCCGGCUCACGGCCCGCGACGCCAUGGACCACCCCUACUUCUACCCCAUUGCCAAGGACCCGGCGCGGAUGGGAGCCCCGGGUGGGCUCUCGGCCAGCACCCCCCCCGUCAGCUCCUCCACUAUGUUGGCAGGGAUCAGCUCCAUGCCCGCCCAGCCCCUCUCCGGCCUGGCUGCAUCGCCCGUCCUGGCCUCGCCCAGCGCCCUGGGAUCGCCCGUGCCCGCGGCUGCCAGCGUCCAGCCCUGAGCCGGG